rnacentral:lncRNA from 10 species
CACCUGCGUACCGGGAGAGUGGGGUGGAGCCACCGGGAAUUCACGCCUGAUGCCCGGGGAGGAGUCUGGCCUCUUCAGCUCCUGUGUGGUGGCCUGAUAUUCAGUCUGUGAGCUGGGAGCCUGUUGGCAGGUCCCUCUUUUUAUUUUCGCUGAGAGCUUUCUUUUACUAAAUGCCACCAUCCUUACCUUUCAAGGUGUCUGCGUGCCUAAUUUUUCCUGGUUGUUAGACAAGAACCCGGAUUUUAGUUGAACUCUGGAGCAAAAAUCCUGCAUCAUUUGUAGGUCAACAACAAGAGGCCAGGACCUCCCAAGAAAAGCUUUACUAAUGUAAUAGCUUUGGCCAAGUCCACCCAAUAUAUUUUCCUCUCUGCAAAGAGAAACAAGCUAUUGUCUCAUCUUAGGUUUCAUCUUCUUCCAUGCCACUGUUAUUCAUGUUCAAAUCCUGGCUGUCCUUCAGGGUCCAAUUCAAAUGAUUAUCGCCAUUUUCUAUUAAUGUCAUUUCUUCCUAUUUUCUACCUUUUGUUAGCUAUGUUAAAGUGUUUCUUUACCAACAUCCCCCAUAUAUUGUGUAACACAGUGUCUAUGGCUUACUCAUUUUUGAAUCCUUAUCAUGACCUGACAUAAUGAAGAUUCUUAGUACAUAGUGAUACAUGUAAAUAUGAGUUAAUUAGUACAUGAUAGACUUGAUUUCCAGAAUGAUUUUGUAUAGUUGAAUUGUGUAGUAAGGGGACACAUGUGAAAUGAAGACUUUAGUCAGUAUCAAGAAGAUAUUUUGGGUGACUUCACAUAUCUGCCAAUGAUAAAUCUAGAAACAAUAGGUGCUUGGGUAGGUGAUUUCCUUUUGCCUUCUUUAUCAUUGUUUUCCCAGUAUUUCUUACAUUCAUCUAAUUUCAUUAGAUGCCCAUAUACUUUAUACUGGCUCUUCCUGUGAGGUUCGAACUGGUCCAGUCCAUUUGUUUUCAGAAUUGAUUCAUCUGGAGAGUCAUCUCCUAUCCUCCCAAACAAUGAUAUACCAGUCUGAGGACUGUGUAGAAGGGACUUCUCUUUCUACUCAGUAUGACCAAAAUAAUUCAAUUCUAGUUGUGGUGUGUGAUUUAUGAAUAUUUUGUCCUUUAGUUUGUGUGAGCCAAUUUUGUGCCAUAAGAAUUUUAGCCUCCUUUUCCACAAAAGAGUGAUUUAAUCAAACAAAAGUUGACAAUCAAUGUAGUACAUUUGUGUGACAGUGAUUAAACAUGGUGUUUUUCUCUUAGGUGUCUGAGUAGAUUUGGAAAUGCCCAUUCAGCCCUCAGAGCUCCUCUGCUUUAAGGGUGAUGGACUUCCUGUACCACUACGUAGUGCAUGAGUGCCAGCCACUGGUAUCUAGAACUGUGAUUAGUGAGGAAACACUAGGAGGAACAAACAACCCAACUCUUUUUAUCUAAUCUGUUGACUCCAAAGGGACCUUCUGCUUAUUCCAGUUAAAACUCAAGCUGCAAUUCAAAAUGAAAUCAGUAUCUUUUUUCUCUACUUUUCAGCAAAGCAAGAUGCUACCUUAUAAUUACCACGUAACAAUCAAUCGCAAACAUAGUGGCUUAAAGCAGCUCCUCUUUUAGCCUACAUAUCUGCAAACUGGCAGUCUGGACUGAGCUCAGCUGGAUGUUUUUUCUGAGCUGAUCAUGUAUGUAGGGUCUGCUGCUGGCUGGUUUAGACUGAUGGUGGAUGAGAAACCACAUGAAGAAGAGAGGCAUGAUGGUGGCAGAGUUCUGAAAGAGUCACACAGAAGGGCGUUGAGUUCGUGGCUUGAAAAUAGCAUCCUGUCACUUCUACCACAUUCUAUUUACCAGGCCAGCCCAGAUAAAGAUGUGAAGAAACAGACUCCAUCUCUUGAUGGGAGAAGUUGAAAAUCAAUGGAAAAUGGCAUGGAUAAGGAAAGGAGUGAUGAUUGUGGCCAUAUUUGUAAUGGCCAUAUUUGAUACCCUUUUCAGUUUUCCUAGCCACACUUCUCAUUGGCCAGGAAAAUUAAAUGCAUGUCAACACUGAAGAAAACAGAUCUUGGUUAAAAGCAAUGAUGUAGCUAAUAUCCCGUUCAGGUAAAAGAUUACUUAUAUAGUGUGAGACAGGCAUGAGGCAGAGAAGUGCUUACAGGUUGGUUUCUGCUUUGUUAGCAGAUUUACUUUUAGAUCAUAUACUACUUUGUUUUUACUGUUUUAUUGAGAAAAAAUAACAAAUAUUUCCAAAAUUUUGCAGCAUGCAACUCAGUGCUUCAGUUGGCAUUCAAUCAAAAUUUCCUUGAAAUAAAAAAAGACAAGAGAGAGACUUGGAAUUAUGACUCUUCUACUAGAUUAGCUCCUUCAUGUCAAAAUCUGUCAAGUUUAUGAUUUAUUCAGAUAGCACUUGUUUUUGGUGUAAUAACUAAACUGUUGCUUUAGAGUCUACUACAUUCUCCUCUAUUAUUUGGCAUUUUUCUCUUUAUUAUUUUGUUCAAGUAGGAUAUUGUGCUGAGUUGAACCAUGAAAUGAAUUGUAUUGAGCAACAUCAACAACAUAAAUAUUCUGGGGUGUCAUCUGCAUUUUCAUAUCUGGCUGCUCAAAUUCUUUUUACAGCUAUAGCUUUGAUAAUAAUGUAAUAGCAUAAUGUUUUUCAUUAGAUAUCAAAUCAUAGAAGACAACAAAGAUGUGUUAAGUUAGCAUAGUUUAAUAUAAGGAAACAACAGCAUCAGUAAAAGCAUUGAGCACUAAAUAUCUCUUCCAUUUCAGUUCUUUUACAGGAAGCUUUUGUUACGUGUUGUCAGCACAUUGCUGUGAUGCUCAAGUAUAGCUCUUUAAUGUGAAAACCUGGUAUUUGGGCAUGGCUUGAAGCAGCUCACACUGUCACCUGGGCUGGAGUGCAGUGGCGCAAUCUCGGCUCACUGCAACCUCUGCCUCCUGGGUUCAAGCAAUUCUCCUGCCUCAGCCUCCCAAGUAGCUGGGAUUACAGGCACCCGCCACUACACCCAGCUAAUUUGUUGUAUUUUUAGUAGAGAUGGGGUUUCACUAUGUUGGCCAGGCUGGUCUCAACUCCUGAUCUCAGGUGAUCCCCCCCACCUCAGCCUCCCAAAGUGCUAGGAUUACAGGUGUGAGCCACUGCGCCCAGCCCAAAAUAUCUUAAGUAGAUGGGGUUGUGCCAUAUUGGCCAGUCUGGUCUUGAACUCCUGACCUUGUGAUCCACCUGCCUCGGCCUCCCAAAGUGCUGGGAUUACAGGCAUGAGCCACUGUGCCUGGCCAUAUAAUUUUUAAAAGAAGAUUCAUUAAACAAAGGAUCCACAAUAUAAUAAAAAAUUCCAAACUAUCAAAAGCCAAAUGAUUAAUUCUUGACACUUAGGAAAUAAAUGGAUUGAUUAUUUUGUUCCGAAUUUCAGAACAACCAAUAAAAUAAGAGAAAUAAGAUACAGAAUUUGCAAAUCAUUAGAAAGAAGUAACAAAGUUAUAAACAGGGAAGUAUUUUUAAAUGACACUUGAAAACCCAAACAAAAGAAGACAUAACACACGAUGGCAGCAAAAAGUUUAAACAUAUUAUGAUUACAAUUAUGAUUAGAUAAGUUCCCCUGUCAAAGACAAAGAACAGUAAUUAGUUGUUUAUAAGAACUACACUUAAAUCAAAUGACACACAAAGGUAAAAAUUGAACAAGGCAAUGAGAAGCAAAACAAUACCCAGAAAUAGAUUUCAGCAGAAGUGGGAGUCAUUCUUUCCAGUAUAGGUUUGAAUUCACAAUACCUGCAGGGCCUAAAAAAGCUCAAAUUAAAAUUUAAUGUAAAGUGGUCUCCAAUUAGUAGUUUCCCAAGAUGCCUUGCAGAAGAGGCAAUACAAAUUCAUUCUUUUUUUCUUUUCGCCACAAGGUGGGUGUCAUUGUGACUGGCUGCUACCUCCCCAUGAGUCUUCUAAAAUAAAACCUGCAAAUUCACAUCUUCCCCAUGCUUCCAGAGAAUGCAUAUUCUUCCUUUGAAAAAAGAAAACCAGCACUGUUCAUAAUAGCCAAGAUUUGGAAGCCACCUAAGUGUCCAUCAACAGAUGAAUGGAGAAACUGUGGUACAUAUACACAACGGAGUGCUAUUCAGCCAUAAAAAAGAAUGAUACUCUGUCAUCUGCAACAACAUGAAUGGAACUGGAGAUCAUUAUGUUGUUAAAUAAGCCAGACACAGAAAGACAAACAUCACAUAUUUUCACUUAUUUUGGGGAUAUAAAAGUCAAAACAAACUCAUGGAGAUAGAGAACAGAUAGACGGUUACCAGAGGCUAGGAGGAGGAGUGGUGGGGGGCAGUUAGUGAUGGUUAAUUGGUACAAAAAAAUGGUUAGAAAUAAUAAAUAAGACCUAGUAUUAGAUAGGACAACAGGAGGACUAUAGUCAAAAAUAAUUUAUUUGUACAUUUCAAAGUAACUAAAAGAGUGUAAUUGUAUUAUUUGUAGCACAUAGGAUAAAUGCUUGAGGUGACGGAUACCCCAUUUACCCUGAUGUGAUUAUUACACAUCGUAUGCCUGUACCAAAAGAUCUCAUGUACCUCAUAAAUACAUACACCUACUAUAUACCCACACAAAUUAAAAAUUAAAAAAAUUUAAAGAAAUUACAGUUUGUUGGUUUUGAAUAUUUGACCAAAUUUUUUACUAAGCACAGAUAGAUUGAAUAUAAUUUUAUUGUCCUUUUGACAUUAUGAUAAUGAAGGUAUCUACACAGAAGUCUGAGAUGAGAAAAAAAUGAUAUAAUAUCCACCUACUACAUAGUGGGUAGUUUAUAUACUAAAGUUAUUGUUAUGAGAAAGAAUGGCUUAGGAAUAUUAUUUAAAAUUAAUUAAGGGGUGUUAAAAAUAAAAUACCAAGUGUAAAAAUGACAAAGGCAAGAAGAAACAGUAUAUAAUGUGAGUAAAUCUUAAUCUUUCCAAGAGAGGAGACAGUACAUAAUGUCUAAAAUUGUUAAACCAUGAAAUAGAAAUAUAGUUAUUUUAUUCAUAAUUAAGGAGAUAACUACUAUAGCACGAAAUCGUGCCAAAAAUGGUUGCCUCUGGGAAAUGUGAUUAUAGAUAUUAUAAUAUUUUGGACUGUAAAAAUCUGCUUUUAAGACUGAGGAAAUACAAAUAGGACAAUAUUUAUUUGAAAUUUGUAUCCUCAGGGAGUGUAAAGAAAUUAAUGUAUCCACAAAAUAAUAAUAGCUGCUAUUUGAAAACAUAGUUUUCUUGAAAGUUAAAAUAGUAAUAGUCUUCUAAAAAUUUUGUUAGUUUUGGUUUUCUCUUUAAUCUGAGUUAUGUAGAAAAGUGCUUAUUUCAAAUUAGGUAGGCUUGUUUUAUUCCUUUUUCUGUCUUUUUUCUAUCAACUAGUGUUUUAUUGUGUUCAGAAAAUGCCAUGCAUUAAAAGACUACUUUUGAGAAUUUCUAGAGAUUUUCUUUGUUACUAAAGAGAUUUUUGUAAUUGUUACAUGGGAUUUUAAAAAGAAUGUAAAUUAUCCUUUUUGUCAAGUAUAAUGAUUUCUGAAACCUAGCUGUGUCAGAAUACUGUAUAAUACUGUAAUAGUAUGUUGUUUUUGGCUAUGUGUACUUAUUUCUUAGAGUGGUAUGUUAAAGCCUCGACCUUGUGACUUUGUUUAUUUCUCUCUCUACAUCUAAACAUUUCCAAGACAUGUUAUUUGCAAUACCAAGACCAUAACUAUUAUGUAUUUAAUCAAAAUAAAAUAUUUCGGCUCUCUAUAAUUCACCUUGAACUUUAUUUUGUUAAAUAUAAAUGUUGUUGAUUAUACAACAUUUCAUUAUCAAUCCCUAGACACAUUUCUAAUCCACUAUAAUUGUUUUAAAAUAAAAGGAGAAGGGAAGGUUGUA